UCUCUUUUCAUCAACUAAUAUCACCUUCACACCUCAUCCUUGUCACAUGCUCUCACAUUUUCAAUCCUACACAUUCUACUCAUGCCAUACACACCCAACUGAUAAUUUUAUUUUUACUAGCAUUUUUAUCCCAUAGGGACCACACUGUUUGUUGGGAUGGUUUGCUUUCUCCCCAAGACGUUUUGGGGAUAAAUAAUCACAGACAUAGCAACAAAACGGGGGGCAGAUGAGAGUAGAAGAGGGGAUAGAUAAGAGUCAAAAUUGAGAGGAAUAGAGUGAGAAGGGAACGACGAGAAUUUGGAGUCCAAACAGAGAAGGAAAAAACGGGAAAAAGAGUGAGAACGAAGAGAGGAGAUGCUGAAAAAGGAACUGAGGAGAUAGGGAAACGGGAGAGUCACGAACAGAGAUGGGAAAAGAAAAAUUUGCUCAUCUUCUCCAUUAGGCAAAAAGCAAUUUCUUCGUAUUUCUUCCAUCAACACAAAGCUCCACCAUUCUUACAGCUUCUUGCUCUCCGUUAUCACUCUUAUGAGUCCAUACAAUAUAUAUCACAGAUAUACUCUAGAAGAACCAUAAUCAUGAAUCUUCCCCAUCUCUUUUGCUUUUUUACAAACACCUUUUCUCCAUUAAAAUCAUCACAGAAAACCAGUACAAAAGGUACCAUCGUAGAUCCUCCAUGUAAAAACGUUGCACGUCCACCUCUGUCCGUUCUUCCACUACUAAGAUAGACCCAGUUCCUCUAACCACAAUCCACCUCUGUCCAUUCUUCCACUACUAAGAUAGACCCAAUUCCUCUAACCACAAUCCAAAAUACACUGUUUCCAACAAUCUCUGUUCUUAGCCAGGUUUAGACGGAAGGGAAGGUUCCAUUUCGAGUCAAUCAGGUCAGUGCGUUUGUUCGAGUUUGCGAAUCCGGGUUCCGAUCACGGUUCAAUUUUCUAGUCAGCGGCUAGCGUUGGAAAUUUUGCUUUCCGUAAGGUGUUGUAACAAUCUCCAUGGAUUAGAUACAAGAUGAAGAGCGCAACCCAAUGGCGUGAACUUCAGAUAAAGAAAGUUUUCGAUGAAAGUUAAUAUAGUUUUGGACCUCUUCAAGGUCACUAUUAUUUAGGUUAGAAAGAGUUAGUACAAUUCAAGGAAGAAAUAUUUGA